AUGGGAAAUAAUGCACAUUCUUUUUUUCAUUAAUUCAAAUUAAUAAAAUCUAUUCUGGUUAUAAUGCGGACCUGUGAUAUAUCAAAGUUAGACACCAUCUAUGUUCGCACUAAGUCUUAUUCCUGUCCUUUGGCAGAGGUACUCAAUCCGACUGAGACACACAAGGGACAUUCUUUGGGAAUAGUAGUGUCUUCCUCACUUCAAAAUGUUUCAUGUACUGCAAAGUUGCCGCCAUAUGGUCCCCACAAAGGUUCUGCCAAAACUCCCCGGGUUCUCACGAGAGCUCCUUCCUCCUCUGUUCUUUUAAGCUCCUGCUGCGGUGGCAGACAUGGGAGAGACAGGCAAGCUGCAAAGGGAAGCGGAGUCAAAUUAAAGCCUCACAACCACCAAGGCUCGGCUCCUGGAGUUGCGGAUGGGGGUCCCUCCCUCCCUCUGCUUGAUGAAGGUGGGUGUGAGAUCCCACAGGACUGCCUGGAAGAGAGCCCGUGGAAGUCACUGUAUUUUGCUCAGAAGCUGGAGGCGAAGCAGAAGAAAAAGAGGCUAUUCCUGUCAGUAGCUUCUGAGUCAUGUCCAGGGAAGCACAGCCUCUCUCCAUGGAUUCCUACAGCCGCGUUUUCCUAUGACUCCUUGAGAAUGGCAGUGCAGCCUGAAUCUGCUUUAAUACUGGUUUCUUCCCAAGCUGAGUGAAUCUGACCCCUUUCUAACUUGGAACAAAUCACACAUACAAAAUGAAGAUGAAAUGCCUCCAUCCAGCAGCAUAAUCAAGACCAACUGAGAAAGGUUAGCCACGGUCAAAGGAAAUUGAUGAAGAGUGGCUAUUAAGGCAUAGAGCAUAUGUACGCAGAGUACAGUUAAAUAACGGUAAGUAGGAUGUGUUUAUUAAAAUGAUGCAGGGAUUUUAUACCUUCAUUCUUGAUGUCUCUUAGUACCUGACAUUAUACUGCUAUGGUUUCCAUGGAGACAGCACACACUCUUCCUUUCAGCUGACCUGAAGUUCAAGCCCUGCUGUUGCAAUAGAAAUUCUAAAAAAACCACUUCUACCUUUAUUAAAAACAAAAAUACAAAAUCUAUGCAAAAGUAGGAGAGAAAAAAAACAGAGAGGAUGAGAAAAUCCGUUGACGGUAUUGCAGAAGAGGAAAGAGAGCGUGCUGCUUUCAUUAAGAUGGCAUCAAGAAACAACUUACUAUGCUGGAGGUUGAGAGCGUCUGUCAUUUCCUUCCCCUAAAUUACCUUAGAAUUGAUGCCCCUGAGCCUGCCUUAACAUCUGCACCUUUCAUUUCUAAUUCAAUACGCUCUACUAUUUUUAGUUUUCUGGAAAAUCUCUCUCUCUCUCUCUCUCUCUCUCUCUCUCUCUCUCUCUCUCUUUCUCUCUCUCUUCAAAUUUAAGAACUUGCUUCUGUGUGACUUACACAUACAAAUGUUGACUUGGUAUACAAGUUGACUUUAAUAAAGGCAGGUUUACUUUGGGGAAGGAUUGCUGUGCUGAGACAAGAUGUUUUAUAGGACUAAGGGACCAGGAGCUGGAUACCCCAUCCACAGCUCUCCUUUGUUUAGGAAAUGGAAAAUGUGAUUUCUGAAGGUCUUUUCAUUGCCUUGCAUAGCUGAAUGGUCUACCACGGCUUGCUCUAUCUGUGAGUUUGUUCUUCUGGGAUUUGUUGCACUCUGACACUUGUGUCUAUACAAUCUUCAGGUCAUCUUCAGUGAAAUGUCUAAAGCAGUUACUCAGACCCCAUUUCCCUGACAUACAAAAAUAAGAAAAUGAGGAUGAUCUUUUCUAGAAGUCUCUACUGAAUGGCAUUUUGUGCCCCAUUACUCUGAGUGGGUCAUAGGCUUAUGGGGCCGGGGAGAUGGUCAGAAGAUAAACUGCUUGCCCUGAAUCAGAGCUGUCAGGCUUGUGUGGUAGGUUACCCAUAAACCCACUGUGCACAGAGACAAGAGACUCCUGGAGCUAGCCAAAUUGGUAACCUCCGGAUUCAAAUAGUCUGCAAUAAUAUGUAAUACAUUGAUAAGAUUGAUGGAUUCAAUCCUAUGUUAAACACCUGCCCCUCUAUACCUACACACAGACCCAGACAUGGACACACUGAUACAGACACAUACACAGA